GAGUUUGAUCGUGGCUCAGAUUGAACGCUGGCGGCAUGCCUUACACAUGCAAGUCGAACGGCAGCACGGGAGCUUGCUCCUGGUGGCGAGUGGCGAACGGGUGAGUAAUGCAUCGGAACGUAUCCUGGAGUGGGGGAUAACGUAGCGAAAGUUACGCUAAUACCGCAUAUUCUGUGAGCAGGAAAGCGGGGGACCUUCGGGCCUCGCGCUCUUGGAGCGGCCGAUGUCGGAUUAGCUAGUUGGUGAGGUAAAGGCUCACCAAGGCGACGAUCCGUAGCAGGUCUGAGAGGAUGAUCUGCCACACUGGAACUGAGACACGGUCCAGACUCCUACGGGAGGCAGCAGUGGGAUUUUGGACAAUGGGGGCAACCCUGAUCCAGCCAUGCCGCGUGAGUGAAGAAGGCCUCGGUUGUAAGACGUCUUCGUCGAGGA
rnacentral:rRNA from 1 species